rnacentral:rRNA from 1 species
CCGCCUGGGGAGUACGGUCGCAAGAUUAAAACUCAAAUGAAUUGACGGGGGCCCGCACAAGCGGUGGAGCAUGUGGUUUAAUUCGAUGCAACGCGAAGAACCUUACCUACUCUUGACAUCCAGAGAAGCCAGCGGAGACGCAGGUGUGCCUUCGGGAACUCUGAGACAGGUGCUGCAUGGCUGUCGUCAGCUCGUGUUGUGAAAUGUUGGGUUAAGUCCCGCAACGAGCGCAACCCUUAUCCUUGUUUGCCAGCGAGUAAUGUCGGGAACUCCAGGGAGACUGCCGGUGAUAAACCGGAGGAAGGUGGGGACGACGUCAAGUCAUCAUGGCCCUUACGAGUAGGGCUACACACGUGCUACAAUGGCGCAUACAGAGGGCGGCCAACUUGCGAAAGUGAGCGAAUCCCAAAAAGUGCGUCGUAGUCCGGAUUGGAGUCUGCAACUCGACUCCAUGAAGUCGGAAUCGCUAGUAAUCGUGGAUCAGAAUGCCACGGUGAAUACGUUCCCGGGCCUUGUACACACCGCCCGUCACACCAUGGGAGUGGGCUGCAAAAGAAGUGGGUAGUUUAACCUUCGGGAGGACGCUCACCACUUUGUGGUUCAUGACUGGGGUGAAGUCGUAACAAGGUAGCGCUAGGGGAACCUGGCGCUGGAUCACCUCCUUAUACGAUGAU